ensembl:lncRNA ERBIN-DT ERBIN divergent transcript
CCUCAUACCGGCGGGGAGACAAAGCUGGCGCUGGGAGUGGGAAAAGGGCCCGCGAAAUGGCCUCAAGAUCGUGCCUUUGUUAGAAGAAACAUGGGUACGCUCCGAUGCGACGCAGGCUUCCAACCCCAGCGGUUCGGUGGUGGUGCAGUCGUUGAAUUGCGCUGGCCCUAAUAAUUCAGCCUGGCAGGGUUCGCGUUUAUUGCGGAGAGAGACUCUUAAGCAUUCUGUCAACACAUAUGGCAAAUAGAAAGCCUCAACCAUAACAUUGCACAGUUUUUGCAGUUCUUGCUUUAAAUAUGUUCACAGAAAAGACGGCCUUGUUUUACCCAGAGAAGGAGCGUAAUGCGGAGCGAACCAUUCGUCACCCCCAUUCUCUGCUGCACUUAACUGUGUACAGUGAUGAUAAUUAGCCUCUGGGUCCCUGAAGUCCCUGGUUCAGUUCUUCCGUCUGUAUUCUAGAGAUAAUUAUUUAUUACCAAGUUUGAAUAAAGAGCUAUAUCCCCUACA